UACGUAGGUGGCAAGCGUUGUCCGGAAUUAUUGGGCGUAAAGGGCUCGUAGGCGGCCACCUAAGUCAGACGUGAAAUCCCCAGGCUCAACCUGGGAACUGCGUCUGAUACUGGAUGGCUUGAAUCCGGGAGAGGGAUGCAGAAUUCCAGGUGUAGCGGUGAAAUGCGUAGAUAUCUGGAGGAAUACCGGUGGCGAAGGCGGCAUCCUGGACCGGCAUUGACGCUGAGGAGCGAAAGCCAGGGGAGCAAACGGG
rnacentral:rRNA from 1 species